rnacentral:rRNA from 1 species
GUAUAACUUAGUGGCAGACGGGUGAGUAAUGUAUAGGAAUCUACCUAGUAGUACGGAAUAAUUGUUGGAAACGGCAACUAAUACCGUAUACACCCUACGGGGGAAAGAUUUAUUGCUAUUAGAUGAGCCUAUAUUAGAUUAGCUAGUUGGUGGAGUAAUAGCCUACCAAGGCAAUGAUCUAUAGCUGAUCUGAGAGGAUGAUCAGCCACACUGGAACUGAGAUACGGUCCAGACUCCUACGGGAGGCAGCAGUGGGGAAUAUUGGACAAUGGGCGAAAGCCUGAUCCAGCCAUGCCGCAUGAGUGAAGAAGGCCUUUGGGUUGUAAAGCUCUUUUAGUGAGGAAGAUAAUGACGGUACUCACAGAAGAAGUCCUGGCUAACUCCGUGCCAGCAGCCGCGGUAAUACGGAGAGGGCUAGCGUUAUUCGGAAUUAUUGGGCGUAAAGGGCGCGUAGGCUGGUUAAUAAGUUAAAAGUGAAAUCCCGAGGCUUAACCUUGGAAUUGCUUUUAAAACUAUUAAUCUAGAGAUUGAAAGAGGAUAGAGGAAUUCCUGAUGUAGAGGUAAAAUUCGUAAAUAUUAGGAGGAACACCAGUGGCGAAGGCGUCUAUCUGGUUCAAAUCUGACGCUGAAGCGCGAAGGCGUGGGGAGCAAACAGGAUUAGAUACCCUGGUAGUCCACGCUGUAAACGAUGAAUGUUAAAUAUGGGAAGUUUACUUUCUGUAUUACAGCUAACGCGUUAAACAUUCCGCCUGGGGACUACGGUCGCAAGAUUAAAACUCAAAGGAAUUGACGGGGACUCGCACAAGCGGUGGAGCAUGUGGUUUAAUUCGAUGCAACGCGAAAA